GACGAACGCUGGCGGCGUGCUUAACACAUGCAAGUCGAGCGGUAAGGCCUCUUCGGGGGUACACGAGCGGCGAACGGGUGAGUAACACGUGGGUGACCUGCCCUCAGCUCUGGGAUAAGCCUGGGAAACUGGGUCUAAUACCGGAUAUGACCUUUCCUCGCAUGGGGUUUGGUGGAAAGUUUUUUCGGCUGGGGAUGGGCCCGCGGCCUAUCAGCUUGUUGGUGGGGUGAUGGCCUACCAAGGCGACGACGGGAAGCCGGCCUGAGAGGGCGACCGGCCACCCUGGGACUGGGACCCGGCCCGGACUCCUACGGGAGGCGGGAGGGGGGAAUUUUGCGAAAGGGGGGGAGGCCUGACGGGGCGACGCCGGGGGGGGGAUGACGGCCUUGGGGUUGAAAACCUUUUUCGACCCCGAAGAAUUUGGAGGGUGGGGGUAAAAAAAGCACCGGCAAACUACGG
rnacentral:rRNA from 1 species